GAUUAGAGUUUGAUCCUGGCUCAGAUUGAACGCUGGCGGCAUGUCUUACACAUGCAAGUCGAACGGCAGCAUGGAGGAGCUUGCUCCUCUGAUGGCGAGUGGCGAACGGGUGAGUAAAGCAUCGGAACGUACCGUGUAGUGGGGGAUAACGUAGCGAAAGUUACGCUAAUACCGCAUACGCACUGAGGUGGAAAGCAGGGGAUCGCAAGACCUGCGCUAUACGAGCGGCCGAUGUCAGAUUAGCUAGUUGGUAGGGUAAAGGCCUACCAAGGCGACGAUCUGUAGCGGGUCUGAGAGGAUGAUCCGCCACACUGGGACUGAGACACGGCCCAGACUCCUACGGGAGGCAGCAGUGGGGAAUUUUGGACAAUGGGGGAAACCCUGAUCCAGCCAUGCCGCGUGAGUGAAGAAGGCCUUCGGGUUGUAAAGCACUUUCGGCUGGGAAGAAAUCGCACAGGCUAAUACUCUGUGUGGAUGACGGUACCAGCAUAGAG
rnacentral:rRNA from 1 species